rnacentral:lncRNA from 1 species
UUUGAUCUUAUCCAUCCUUAUUUCACUCCUCUGAACCAAGUCGACAUUCAUCUUGACGAUCUCCUCAUACUGUGCUUUAGUCGACUUCAGUUCUUCAUUGGAGGUCUUCACGUCUCCUUUGGCUUGGGCCAACUCUUUCUGAAGUCCUUCAUUCGUAUGAAGAACGCCUUCACGUUGGGUCCUUUCCCGAGCCAAAACAGACUUCAGUAUGGCGUUCUCCUUCCUCAAUGCCUCUUCUUCGGAUUCAGCCUCGAGGGACCUCGGACGCAGACGCCCGAAUACAGCAUUCGCCUAUGCGUGUUCAGUAUUAUUUGAUCAGUUUCAGAUGUAUAAAUAUGAAGAUAAAUAUGGAAAUAAAUGAGAGAAUCAUUUACCUUCGCCAAGUAGCUCAUGCCUUCGCUAAGCAAAUCCCCGUUCGAACUGUUCCCGAAUCGAUGGUCAUCGGUCUCACGAAUGAAGGCCUCAAACAGUUGAAAGGGGAAGUUGGCAUUAAAUCGAGACCACAUGGUUGGAGAGGCCAUAGCGUCAUGCUGAAAUUCGGAGGUUGAACCUGGCUGGCUGUCUGAAGGUUGUUUUCUUUUUCGGGAUAAUAUGGGGUCAGAUUCGACCAGCUCAGCAUCAGGUGUUUGAAUUCCGGUGGGAAUUAUUGGGGGAAUGACCGUCGAAGAUAAUGGAGCUCGGAGUUCUUCGGCAGUGAGUGGGGUUAUCUUUGAUCUUAACUUUUUAACGCGAAGGACUUUCGCCCGAUCGCGUAGAGGUAUGUCAAGUAGACUCCUCUUAAUUGGAGCUGAUUCAGAAGGUGCAGUAACGGGGUCAGAUGGAGGGGUUGAUUGUGGGAUUGCUUCGGGAAGGAUCUCCUCGUCGCUUUCAGGAUCUAUAUCGCGAUGGAUAGUUCUGGCUUUUUUGGCAGCUUUCUUCCUUCGGCGAGGUCUGAGGGUUUCUUCGGGAAUGAGAGGCUCGUCAGCUUCAGGCUCAUCAUUCUGAAGGGAAAUGGUUGGUGGAUCGGAGGCGGGGGGAUCGGCUCGGGAAGACUCUUCGGUAGGAAGCUCUUCACUCGCCUCCGUAGUCCUCCCUGCCAAAAAGUCUCCCAGUUCUUUUACUUCCGAAGAAGUUGGUUUGAUCAGAGACACUGCAAAUAACCAUAUAUUAAAACCCUUGUCACUUAAAUACCUCAAAAAACUAUAUUACAGAGUUGUUCGAAACUUACAUUUGUGAUCAUACAGCCAGGCUUGUUUGGUCAGAAGUGUAAAACUCCAUUCUUUUGGAGGAAUCUUCUUCAGAAAGUCUCCCAUCUCCUUCACACGCUCUUCGGGAAUAUCUCCGAAGUCAGCAGAGAUCCGAUCUGAGAUGGUCCAAUCUGGAAGAGUAGAGAUUUCUGGUCCUGUGACGAAGAACCAUUUCUCGUGCCAUCCCUUAUUGCUCGAAGGGGUACUCAUCAGGGACCUCUUCUCAAAUUUGGAGUUCGGGCGAGGAGAUUGUUUGCUCAGCAUCUUAAAGCCUCGUUCUCGGGAUCUACCGGCUGAGAAGAGGGUGAAGAAAAUGUCGACAGAGGGAGUAAUCCCUAACUCAUGGCAGAAGGCAAUGAAUGCCAAUAUGUGGAUGUAGGAAUUGGGCACCAGCUGAGCGAAACCCACUCCUAUGAACCCUAGGAGGGUAACAACGAAAGCGUGAAGGGGUAGACGAAUCCCCUUUUCGAGAAAGGUAGCCGGCAUGGCGACCCAACCAUCUGGCCGCUGGUACAUUCGCUCUUCAGGAGCAGGAGCCCUUAUAGCAUAAUUAUCUGGGAUCUGAUAACGAGUCCGGAGGGUACGUAUCUCAGAUUCCGUGACAGUAGAUGGAAUGUUGGCAUGAGGAAACUGUUCCCCAUCCUUGAAGAAAUCAGCAGGAGAUGGAGGGUUUGAACUCGAACCCUCUUGGUUAGGGUUUGGAUUGGGGGAAACUGUGCUAGCGGGAGUCACACGAAGAGGAGAAGUCUGGCUAGAGCUCACAGUCACCAUUGUUGAAAUUUCGUAAGACAGAGAAAGAAGUUCUGGGAAGGAGAAGAAAGCUCAAAAGUUCAAAUUGGCAGGUAAAACCGUCAAAAUUGGUAAAGUUUACCUUUUAUAUUGACGGUUACACAGUAAUCGAGGGCGGCACAUUUAAUUCACAGCAAUGAUGGUGAAUUGGAAGAGGUAUCGUACGGUUUUGGAUCUAAAUAUCUUGACCAGAGUGGACUUAUGUCUAUUGGGCCUCCCAUUUCUGUCUCUGAUGUCGAUUUGGACCAAAUUAGUUGGGCUUUGGUAAGUUUCACUCUGAACCUCUUGUGACUUAUCAUGAUCCGUUAUAUCAUGGGCCUAUAUUGUUUAUAGUCUUCCAUUAAACCCCCUGUUUAAUAAAAGACUAGGGGGCAAUGUUGGGCCAUGAUCCUUUUCCUUAUUGGGCCAGACUUAAUGGGCUCCUCCCUUGGAUUAUGUUACUUUUGUCCUAUUGAUCCGAAUGAUUUGGGCCCAAUUACUUGAUCAUUUCGUUGGGUUAUCUCGGUUGGAUCCGGUCAUAUGGGUCAUUUCCUUUAUUUGGGCUUAGUCAUUGAAUUAGCCCAUUAUGUAAAUUGUCACUUAACCCAACUUUGACCGGUAAUCAUUACACCAAAAAAUAGUUGACUGUUAUGUCUGCCACCUUUCUGCAUGGCAUUAAUGAGGAUGGGACUCAGAUGACCGGCGGUGGCAAAUAGUGGUAGCAGGUGAGGAAGUAGGCUACAUACUUUCGGCUGAAAUGACCGGGAGUGGGAAAAAGGUGUCAGGAGGUGAUGGGUGGCACGGUAAACCGGGAUUGGAUUACGUAUGGGGCUAGGAUCACAAAAAGGGAGGUAAGUAACAAAAUAUUACAACACACACGAUCAUAUUAUUAUUUUUUCUCAGGCAUUAGACAUUAUUUUUUCCCUCCAUUGUUGACUUUGUGAUCGCCGAUACUGACUCUCACGCCGGAGCUAUCCCCCGACGGUCCAACCGUCAAGCUUUUGGUGUUGACUUGUUGAACUGUGCAGGAUAUCGGACGCGUCUUGGUGAUUGAAACGUGGAGAAAGAUCUUGGCGUUAACACUCCUCUUCAUGGGAAUUAAACUGAUCAUCUGUCAUCUUUCUUUGUUGCUUUGCUUUUUAAGGCAGCACUUCUCAAAGGCUAUCCAUCAGAAUUGACCAUAGUGGCUUUCUAUUGCUUGUUUGGUUUGGGGCCAUCCAAUGCACACUAGUCUCUUUAGUUGCAGAGAGAGACCACCCAAAUGCUUGGAAAAUAAGGACUGGGAUCGAGCUAAUCGCUAUCAUCUACUCGGUAAGUUAACUAGCCAGCUUUUUAAUUCGCCUAGUGGACUAGUGGUCAUGGAUGAAGCUUCCUACCUACAACUAGAGUAUCUAAUCUGGUUCCUAUUUUAUUAGGCUGUCUUUGGAUGUGUGGUAACAUUUUGGGUACAAACAUGUGUAUUAUUUUAUACAAAUAAUAUAUUACAAAAUUAAAUAAAAAUAAAUAUUUUUAUAUGUUAUUUAGUGAUGUACUAUUAAAAAAGUUUAAUGAGUAAAUUAAAUGAAUUAUAAUACAUAUAAUUUAUGGAGAUUUGUAAUGGUUAAAUUUAUAUUAAAUACUUAUUAUUGAGUCAUUAUUUAUUUAUUUAUUUUUACCGUUGCAAUAUUAUUAGAUUACCGUUGCUAUGUUGGAUAUUACCGUUGUCAUCAUAUAUAUAUCUUCUGUAGCAUGUNNNNNNNNNNNNNNNNNNNNNNNNNNNNNNNNNNNNNNNNNNNNNNNNNNNNNNNNNNNNNNNNNNNNNNNNNNNNNNNNNNNNNNNNNNNNNNNNNNNNUAGUGAGUGGGUUUAUCUUUGAUCUUAACUUUUUAACGCGAAGAACUUUCGCCCUAUCGCGUAGAGGUAUGUCAAGUAGACUCCUCUUAAUUGGAGCUGAUUCAGAAGGUGCAGUAACAGGGUCAGAUGGAGGGGUUGAUUGUGGGAUUGCUUCAGGAAAGAUCUCCGCGUCACUUUCAGGAUCUAUAUCACGUUGGAUAGUUUUGGCUUUUUUGGCGGCUUUCUUCCUUCGGCGAGGUCUGAGGGUUUCUUCGGGAAUGAGAGGCUCGUCAGCUUCAGGCUCAUCAUUCUGAAGGGAAAUGGUUGGUGGAUCGGAGACGGGGGGAUCAGCUCGGGAAGACUCUUCGGUAGGAAGCUCUUCACUCGCCUCCGUAGUCCUCCCUGCCAAAAAGUCUCCCAGCUCUUUUACUUCCGAAGAAGUUGGUUUGAUCAGAGACACUGCAAAUAACCAUAUGUUAAAACUCAUGCCACUUAAAUACCUCAAAAAACCAUAUUACAGAGUUGUUCAAAACUUACAUUUGUGGUCGUAUAGCCAGGCUUGUUUAGUCAGAAGUGUAN